rnacentral:rRNA from 1 species
GACAGAGGGUGCAAACGUUGUUCGGAAUUACUGGGCGUAAAGCGCGUGUAGGCGGCUACAUAAGUCGGGCGUGAAAUCCCAUGGCUCAACCGUGGAAGUGUAUUCGAAAUUGUGUAGCUAGAGUCCUGGAGAGGAAGGUGGAAUGCUUGGUGUAGAGGUGAAAUUCGUAGAUAUCAAGCGGAACACCGGUGGCGAAGGCGGCCUUCUGGACAGUGACUGACGCUGAGACGCGAAAGCGUGGGGAGCAAACAGG